rnacentral:lncRNA from 1 species
CCUUCGGCCCGGGACGGACCAUCGGCCGCCCUGUCGGGGGAGUCCGGACGCACAAAGUUUCCAAAAAGUUCUGCCAGUCGCUGCCGCACCCCACUCGGGGCAGAGCUUAACUUAGCAAAGCAUGGCUCUUCUUCCUGAAUGGACCCAAGGAAUCCAAUCCAGUGAGGGCUCUGAUGAACAGAUCCACCUUUUAGGUGGAAAACAAGAGAUUUGAGAAAGAUCAGCAGACUGUUGCUUGACUUAUUACUGAAGCUGCACAUCACCCAGAAGCAAGAAUUCAUCACUAAAGGGAGCGCCACAUACUUCAAGAAGUAGUUAAACCUGCCUUACCCUCCUCCAACCCUCCAGCACUUGUCAGGUGCUCUGCCUAGUGCCUAGCUCAGAGGAUGCUAAGUGGAGCAACACAAUGGACAGACUUAUUGACAGUAGCACAGUGUGAUGAGAAUGGUAAGAAGAAGAGAUAUUUAGGAAGACAGAUCUUCAAAUAUGUGGCGCUUUGGGAGUCAUGAUGAUGAGUGUGCAGUAUGUGAACCAGGAAUGGCUUCUUCAGUGUGUCCUUUAGCUCCCAGUGGCUGCCUCUCGCCCUAGAUUCCAAACUCGGUGUUACCAGUAUGCAGUCUCAUUGCUUCCUUAUGGCAGGACACAGAGUAAUUAAAUACAUGUUUUCAUAUUAUAUUUCCUUAUUAUAUUCUACUUUUUUUUUUACCACAGUGUACAUUAUUUUUAUCUUUACUAGAUCAAAAAAGUCAUACCUUCUUUAAAAAUAAAAUGUGAUGGUGA